rnacentral:lncRNA from 1 species
GCGGAUCACGAAGUCAGGAGAUGGAGACCAUCCUGGCCAACAUGGUGAAAUUCCGUCUCUACUAAAAAUACAAAACUUAGCUGGGUGUGACUAUGCGCCUGUAGUCCUAGCUACUCGGGAGGGAGGCAGAGGCAGGAGAAUCACUUGAAUCUGGGUGGCGUAGGUUGCCGUGAGCCAAGAUGGCGCCACUGCACUCACUCCAGCCUGGGUGACAGGGCGGGACUCCGUCUCAAAAAACAAAACAAAACAAAACAAAAGAGCUAACUCAUGUUAAGCAAGUAUUCUAUUAACUUUUGGGGUGGGUUUUCUUAUUCUUCAGGACAACCACAUGUUGGAGCUGAUACUCCUAUUACUAUUUUAGUGAUGAGAAAACUGAGCCAUAUUAGUAACUGCCUGAUCAUUUUCUCCUAUGUUCUCUACCUCCCGUGUCUUGACCAACCUCAGAUUUAUACUGUCACCAUUAAAGAAGCUCUGGAUUGGGUGAUGUGGACUCUUUCUUAGGCUUAGAACGUGGGAAUGGAGUGAGGAGAAUCUGUUCAAGAGAAGACUGUGCAACCCAAUUUGAGACCUAGAUCAACAUUCCCAAAAUGGGGGCCUGGUGGGAAAGCUUGUGUCUGAUUCUGCCUUCCUUAAGAAGUGCCACACCUCCGCAAUCAACUCUGUACAGCUUAGUUCACUGGGGCUUGAAUUCCACUGUUCUCCAAAUUUUGUUUGAGGGUGUUUGUAGCACAGUUUGGAAGCUGAAAUGAAGGGACAGGAAGGUUUAUUAAUGUAUGUCACUGAGAACACUAAAGCCUCCUUUUCCCCUCUCUGGAUUUUCUAGCGUUUGAACUUCUCAGAUAGAGGAACCCCAGUGAAGACUGAUCAGUUCUUACAGUUCUCAAAGCAUGGCCCAUAAAUAUGUGGGUCUGCAGUAUCAGGGAUCAGUGACAUUUGAGGAUGUGGCCAUAGCCUUCUCCCAGCAGGAGUGGGAGAGUCUGGACUCUUCCCAGAGGGGCUUGUACAGAGAUGUGAUGUUGGAGAACUACAGGAACUUGGUGUCAAUGGCAGGACAUUCCCUUUCUAAACCACAUGUGAUCGCCUUAUUGGAACAAUGGAAAGAGCCUGAAGUGACAGUGAGGAAAGAUGGAAGAAGAUGGUGCACAGGUGAGUAAGAGCAUGGCAGGUAGGGAGGCCAUUGUUGCUGGAAACAGCCCAGCUGUCAGGGAGGA